AAAAAAAAAGAAAAAAAACAAGAAAAGAAACAAUUUUAUGGGGGUGUUUGGCCUAACUUUUAAAAAGAGCUUUUGAAUUGAAAAGUGAUUUUCGGCUCAAUAGAACGUCUGGCAACUUCACUCUUAAAAUAUGAUUCUGCUUUUUAGAAUCAGAAAAUUAAUUUUGAAGGCCCCAGAAUUAGAAGCAGAAAAAACCUGCUUCUUGAAAUCUGAUUCUGAAUUUAGCCAAACGCUCUACAGCUUUUAACCGAAAUUAUUUUUUCAUAAAUCAUUUUUUCAGAAGCUAGACCAAACAUGCCCUAUU
rnacentral:lncRNA from 1 species